CCAAAACCAAAUACAACCUUACAGAGGUAAUAAACCUUGUGAUACAGUCUCAGGAGGAUGUGCUAUGAAAGGAGCCAAAUCAGGUAACCAGAAACAAAUACCAAGUUCUUUACUGGUAUUUUGAAUGUUUAUUAAACAGUUACCAAUCCAUUGCCAUUUGUUUCCUUCACACUUUGUGCUCCCUCCUUCUUCCUUCUCUUGCAAAAUCCUCACAACUUCUUCUGUCUUUAUGUUCCUUUUUUUUUUUUUUUGUUGAGAUUAUGCCUUGCAAAACCUCUAAUUAACCUGCCUAGCAAAAGCUGAACCUUCUUCAGACUACAGGGAGAGUAGCAGAAAAAAUAAAAGUGACAAAGAAGAAAGCGAAGGAGUCUCUUUAGCAGGAAGAAGGAGGGGUCAUUUCAGGGAAAUUAUUUUAAUAAUUCUUGUCCCAUUACAUAAAUAAUUCACUUUUUUCUUCUAUGUCACUGUAUUCCUAGGGUUCUUCUCAAAGCAUAACUCUUCCACAUUUAGACACGUUCAAAAAUAAGAAAUUAGAGAACACACUUCAUUCUUUCCUUAUCCUAUCCAGUUAUUUCAAGACAAACAUUUGAAAAACAAUAAUAAUUUCAGACUGCAAUAAAGGAAGGCUAUUUGUUUUACUUUUGCAGGCACAGAAAUUUUGUGAAAUCACCAACAAUUCAGAAAAGAAAUGACAUCAUCAUGCCCGAAAAAGUAUAAAUGACAUAAUCUCAAAUUAACACAUAAAAACGUUAAUUAAAAAUUUAGUUUUAAACCCCCCUAUUCUCUCCUUCCUCUUUUUUUUUUUUUUUUAAUCAUGGCCUAAUACAUCAAAACAGGCUGGAUGUGUCAACGGCAGGAUAUUUGAGAAUCAAGGAUCUGAUUCAAAUGUUUUAUUUGUUCUUGAUGGAAAAUUCCAAACUGGCUUUUAAAGCCUUUCAAUAAUGCAUGGAAUCCUGAAGAAAAAGUUGCUUCCUAGAAGAUGUUGCUCUGUUCAACCUGUAUUUUUAAGUGUCUUUUUCCUCUAAUGUGGGUUUAAAAACAAUAAGGAGAGACAUAUGCUACUUGGGUAUUUUGUUGAGGCCAUUUCCCUUUUUUUAUCUGAGGUCAUGUGAAUGGAUACUCAUCAAAACAAGAGGGGCGUUUUUGGUUUCUCUUUUUGCUGAUAAAUCGAAAACACAAAGGUCAAAAAUAAGCCCUGUUCCUCAAUCCCAGUGCCAAUGUUGGAGUGGGUUUUUCUUUUUCUUUUUUUUUUUUUUUUUUUUUUUUGAGAUCGAAUUUUGCUCUUGUCACCCAGGCUGGAGUGCAGUGGCGCGAUCUUGGCUCACUGCAACCUCCGCCUCCUGGGUUCAAGCAAUUCUCCACCCUUAGCCUCCCAAGUAGCUGGGAUUACAGGUGCCCACCACCACUCCUGGGUAAUUUUUGUACUUUUAGUAGAGAUGGGGUUUUGCCAUGUUGGCCAGGCUGGUCUCGAACUCCUGACCUCAGGUGAUCCACCCGCCUUGGCCUCCCACAGUACUGGGAUUACAGACGUGAGCCACCGUGCCCGACCUGGAGUGGGUUUUUUAAGUACUUAUAAUAAUUACUUGAAUAAUAUGUGUUCAUUGUAGAUAACAUGAAAAAUGCAGAAAAACACAAAGAAGAAAAAUCAUUUCUAAUUUUACCAGUGUUUAUCAUUAGUGUGUGCCAUGGGGAUAUUUCCUUUCUAGCCCCACACACCCAGGCACCUUCUUGUUUUUUAACAUUUAUUUAACACAUGGUUAAUGACUUGCUACUAUGCUGCAGGAAUUGUAUCAGGUGGUAGAAAUACAAUUUGUAUUAAUUGUAGAUAAUAUUUUGUGAUACAUUAUUUUUUAAUUUAAUAAGAUACUAUGGACUGAGAUGUAUUCUUCAUGACGUGUGAUGACAACGUAGUAAUCCCUAAUUCCUUUAGUUAAUAAGUUCAUUUUACCUUCUCAUUUUGCCUCUCAUUUGCUAUUUUAUCACCUUUCACAAAUAGGUUUAUUUGUUGUUAUUUUUUCCUGCUUUAUUUGUAAGCAGUAUUAGAUAACAGUUGCACACGGAGAAUUUUCAGGUACAAUUAACUUCUCUCUUUUUUGCGUGUAGGCUUAUUUCUUCCUGACAAGUCUUUUGCCUUCUAAGUAACUUAGUGUUGAAACAUUACAUGAAAAAGCCACCUCAUUUGGUUCUUGCACAGUAAUGUCUAAAUCACAUAAGAAAUGCAUUGAAAAAAACAAUCGGGGAAAAAAGAGGGAGUAAUAUUGGCUAGCACAUCUUUGAAUGCAUCUGGAAAGAAAAGAGUAAAUCAGGAUUGAAAUAGAAGCCAAAAGAUGAUAUUUUUAUGGAAAAUAAUUCCCCUCUCCUUUUCUUUCCCCAGCUCUUUUUCUAUCUAAUAUGCAUUUUUCUUUAUAUUAUAAAACAGCUUUGCUCACCUUAUCUCUGGUAGUUCUUUAUUACUUCAGUGUCUUCUCAUCAUUUUUUAAGGUUCUGGAAAUGUAAACUACUUUCCUACCACUUUUCAUUUUUGUGGAUAGGGUGGCUGAUGGGCUUUAAGUUUCAAGCUAUGAUGAAACAAGGAAAUAGAUCACUUCUUACAGUGUAAUAAUGGAACUCUGUUGAUGGGUCUAAUAAAGAAGAAAAAAAAUCAAACCUUAUCCAUCAUCUCCAUGACUUCUAGUGUCUUUCCCAUCUGCAUCUUCAUGUUAAGCAAAAAAUAUAUAAUGCAAAAAGUGUGUUUCACAAAGGACUUUUUUUAAAAAAAAAAAUAAGGUUAGGGCUUUCUUUCCUUCUAUUUUUUUUUUUUUUUUUUGAGUUGGAGUCUCGCUCUGUCCCCCAGGCUGGAGUGCAGUGGUGCGAUCUCGGCUCACUGCAAGCUCCGCCUCCCCGGUUCACGCCAUUCUCCUGCCUCAGCCUUCCGAGUAGCUGGGACUACAGGCGCCUGCCACCACGCCUGGCUGAUUUUUUUGUAUUUUUAGUAGAGAAGGGGUUUCACCGUGUUAGCCAGGAUGGUCUCGAUCUCCUGACCUCGUGAUCUGCCUGCCUUGGCCUCCCAAACUGCUGGGAUUACAGGCAGGAGCCACCGCGCCCAGCUAAAGGUUAGGGUUUUCUAAGGUUGUAACUUUUGCAUGUGUAUUACUUGCCACACAAAGCAUCAAGAUAAGGAAACCAGCCCUUAUGGGUCCUUAGCUUCAUGACAAUAUCUAAA
rnacentral:lncRNA from 1 species